UACAGAGGGUGCAAGCGUUGUUCGGAAUUAUUGGGCGUAAAGGGCGCGUAGGCGGUGCGGUAAGUCACCUGUGAAACCUCUGGGCUUAACUCAGAGCCUGCAGGCGAAACUGCCGUGCUUGAGUGUGGGAGAGGUGCGUGGAAUUCCCGGUGUAGCGGUGAAAUGCGUAGAUAUCAGGAGGAACACCUGCGGUGUAGACGGCUUACUGGACCGUAACUGACGCUGAGGCACGAAAGCGUGGGUAGCAAACAGG
rnacentral:rRNA from 1 species